rnacentral:rRNA from 1 species
GAUGAACGCUAGCGGCAGGCCUAACACAUGCAAGUCGAGGGAGGAGCUCUCGGGCUUCGACCGGCGUACGGGUGCGUCACGCGUAUACAAUCUGCCUUUCACAUAGGGUUAGCGAGAGGAGAUCUGAAUUAAUACCAAAUGGUAUAUCGAAAUAGCAUCACCUUUAUAUUAAACCUGAGUCGGUGAAAAAUGGGUAUGCGUUCUAUUAGCUCGUUGGAGAGGUAACGGCUCCCGUCGGCGAGGAUGGAUAGGGGGUCUGGGAGGGAUAUCCCCCACACUGGUACGGAGAGACGGACCAGAAUCCAACGGGAGGCAGCAGUGAGGAAGAUUGGACCAGGGUCGGAAGUCGGAUCCAGCCAUGCCGCGUGAAGGAACACGGCCGUGUGAGUUGUAAACUGCUUAUGGAGGGAAAGAAUUUUGACUACGCGUAGUAUUAUGAGGACACUCUGAGAAUACGCCGCCUAUCUCCGUG